UACGAAGGGGGCUAGCGUUGUUCGGAUUUACUGGGCGUAAAGCGCACGUAGGCGGUUUGUUAAGUCAGGGGUGAAAUCCCGGAGUUCAACUCCGGAACUGCCUUUGAUACUGGCAAGCUAGAGUCCGGAAGAGGUAAGUGGAACUCCUAGUGUAGAGGUGGAAUUCGUAGAUAUUAGGAAGAACACCAGUGGCGAAGGCGGCUUACUGGUCCGGAACUGACGCUGAGGUGCGAAAGCGUGGGGAGCAAACAGG
rnacentral:rRNA from 1 species